UACGUAGGGUGCGAGCGUUAAUCGGAAUUACUGGGCGUAAAGUGUGCGCAGGCGGCGUCGCAAGUCGAGUGUGAAAGCCCCGAGCUUAACUUGGGAAUUGCGCUCGAAACUACGGUGCUCGAGUGUGGCAGAGGAAGGUGGAAUUCCACGUGUAGCGGUGAAAUGCGUAGAGAUGUGGAGGAACACCGAUGGCGAAGGCAGCCUUCUGGGUCAACACUGACGCUCAUGCACGAAAGCGUGGGGAGCAAACAGG
rnacentral:rRNA from 1 species